UGGGGAAUAUUGCACAAUGGGGGAAACCCUGAUGCAGCGACGCCGCGUGAGCGAAGAAGGCUUUCGAGUCGUAAAGCUCUGUCCUAUGAGAAGAUAAUGACGGUAUCAUAGGAGGAAGCCCUGGCUAAAUACGUGCCAGCAGCCGCGGUAAUACGUAUGGGGCGAGCGUUGUCCGGAAUUAUUGGGCGUAAAGGGUACGUAGGUGGUUUUUUAAGUCAGGUGUCAAAGCGUGGGGCUUAACUCCAUUAAGCACUUGAAACUGAAAGACUUGAGUGAAGGAGAGGAAAGUGGAAUGCCUAGUGUAGCGGUGAAAUGCGCAGAUAUUUGGAAGAACACCGGUGGCGAAGGCGGCCUUCUGGGCAACGACUGACGAUGAGGCGCGAAAGCUAGGGGAGCUAACAGG
rnacentral:rRNA from 1 species